rnacentral:misc_RNA from 1 species
CCAAACUUGGUCAUUUAGAGGAAGUAAAAGUCGUAACAAGGUUUCCGUAGGUGAACCUGCGGAAGGAUCAUUAUCAGUGAGCCCCGGUUCCAACCGGGGACUACACCUCUUACCUCAAAGUGGGUUGCCUGGUGCGGGUUUAAAGCCCCAUUGGCCCCACGUGCCAAACCUAAGUGCAGAAAAGCGGGUACUAGUACUUCCUUUCCCUGCCCACGGGCCUUUGGUGCGCGGACGAUUCGCUCUAACCAGCGCGCCGCUUUGAUGUGUAAUGCGUCCACCCAUUUGUGAAACUUAACUUAUGCUUCGGCAGCACUCUUAGCGGCCUAAGAAACCGCUAGAGGGGUAAGGCUGUCAGAGGCCCAAUUUCAAACUAGUUGAUGAAAUGUCAUGCAGUCUGAUAAACCACUAUUUGAGAAAUCAAAUUGUAAAUUAAAACUUUCAGCAACGGAUCUCUUGGUUCUCGCAUCGAUGAAGAACGCAGC